GGGCAUGUCAGACCGCUGUCUCCCUCUCAAGCCAUAGGGAGUGACGGUGUCCUAAAAACAUGCUAGAGUGACACACAGGAGUCCACAGGGCCAUCGAUCUUACAGAGUUGAUCAAUAGGUAGUAUCGGACUCCCACAAAG